UACGUAGGGGGGCUAGCGUUGUCCGGAAUCAUUGGGCGUAAAGCGCGUGUAGGCGGUCCGGUAAGUCCGCUGUGAAAGUCGGGGGCUCAACCCUCGGAUGCCGGUGGAUACUGUCGGGCUUGAGUACGGAAGAGGCGAGUGGAAUUCCUGGUGUAGCGGUGAAAUGCGUUGAUAUCAUUAGGAACUCCGGUGGCGAAGGCGGCGCACUGGUCCUUUUCUGACGCUGAGGCGCGAAAGCCAGGGGAGCAAACGGG
rnacentral:rRNA from 1 species